GCUGGGUGUGGUGGCGCGUUCCUGUAAUCCCAGCUACCCAGGAGGCUGAGGCAGGAGAAUCACUUGAAUCCGGGAGCUGGAGGUUGCAGUGAGCCGAGAUCAUGCCAUUGCACUCUAGCCUGGGUGACAAAGUGAGACUCUGCCUCAA
rnacentral:SRP_RNA from 1 species